CAAAAUUUUAUGGUAUUAACCUUAUUGUGUUAGCUAGAUAUCCACCAAAUUUGAGCCCAGUUUGAUAACAUUUACUAUUUUUCAAAAAUCAAAGUUUUCGAUUGCUCAAAACUGCCGAAUAUGGUAGACUGUAGUAAAACAGUCAUAUCUCCCAAACCACUUGGAGUUUUUGACUCUACUUUUUUUUAUAUGAAACUAGAAUCGAAGACCUUUCUUUUGGUAUGAGUCUUGAGUCCAGGAGAUGUCGGAGUCAGAACUGGUUAAUUUUUGAAGUUGAGUCAGUGUGUAAACAGAGCAUGUUUUGAUGAUGUUUGAUGGUAUUUUCUUAUGUGCCUUACGUGUUUGUGUUGCCUAUGUGUUUGAAUGAAAAUUUGACGAGUCUUAUAUGAGAGAUAAAUCGAGACUUAGAACCAUGAUUUUCUUGAAACCUAUCCUUGAGCUUAAGGAUUUGAGAUGAGUGGAGAGUCUAUAUAGAGUUGAAUAAGGAAAUAGAAUAUGAGAUAGAGCAAGAGUUAAGGCAUGAGAUUUGUUAAUGAGUUUCUAAUCGAGAUUCAUUUUAUGACAUGAACCUUCGAUGAUGAUGAUGAUCCCUGAAGACACGAGCAGAGCAAGGAAGUAAGUAACUCCGCUUUGACGGGAGAUUUUGAGUAAGGUCUUCAGGCUAAGCGGGGAGCGAGAUUGGUCUGGUGCUGGUGGGGAACCGUUUCAAUCGAUGUGAUCAUAUUUAAUAUUGCCGUUAUGAUUGAUAGAGUCUUGAUGAUUAAAAAUACUUUGUUUCCUUUCGAAUCAAGUAAUAUACUCACGGUUAUGUGUCUUCAUACAUAUAAUCGGUUCGCCUUUUGCUGCGAUACUCUGCAUAUUAUGCUUCCUUAUGAAAAAUGAGCUAUACCCAUUUUGUUUUUGUUCGUGAAAUUCCUGAUAAUUAAAAUGUUAUAACGACGUUGACGAUUUUACCCUUGGGUUCA